ACUUUAUAUGUUAACUUACAGGUUGUUUUGGGGUGAGAUAAACAUUUAAAUUGGUGAACUUUGAGAGGAAAAUUAGAAGACAAGUAUCCUCAUUUCCACCUGGAUCCAGUCUUUCUUCCUUAUUACUUUUAUUAACAAUAUCAGUUAAGGUUUAUAUGGAUGUCUUGCUUUGGCCUGUACAAAAAACUACUUUGUAUAUGCCUUAUUUUAUUAAUUUUGCUUCUGAAUUUCAUCAAAUUCUCUGAUCAUAACUCUAUAUUCUUGUAAGGAAUGCUCAGAAUUAUACUAUUUCACUCCAAAUUUUAUUAUUAUUGAGACGAAACUGGGUAUAGAAAGUUGUGGGACCAGUUUGUAAUUUAUUGCUUUAAAAUUUGGUCAAGCCACUCAAAUUCUCUAGCUGUACCUAUGAAAUAGCUUUAAUAUUUCAAUCCCCUGCAUUUUCUUUGAAUAAUAUGGAGUUUGAAUUGAAGUGGUCCUGAAUUUGAGUGCUGCAUAUGCUACUUUUGAGAUAUGUGAUCUUGAGCAAGUUGCUUAAUCACAUUAAACCUCAAUUCUCUCAUCUUUAAAAUAGAAAAAAUAAUAGCUACUUUACAGUGUUGAGAAAAGAAUAAGAUGAAACAGUUUAUUAAAAACAUAGAAGAGUGCUUAAGACAUAAUAAAGUCUACAUAAAUUGUGCCUAUUGUUAUUACUAAUAAAAAAAAAAGAAAUUCUACGUGUCAGGAAUUUGAACAAAUUACAGCUGGAUUUGCAUAUUUCUUCCACAAGAUGUAUGUGGUCCCAUCUGAUAAUAGGGAAUUGGUUGGUAACUGGAAUCUUCUUGGAAACCUCUUAAAUCACAGAUCUUGCACUUGUACUGGGAUAAUCUGGAGUGUGUGCUCCUCUGAGUUUGUUGACCAAAUCACCUACAGGUGAACUCUCCAUAUAUGUAUUUUCCUAGUCAAUUCCUACACUGACCUCAAGCAAACACUGAUCAGCUUUCUGUCAUAAUAGAUGCGAUUUACUUUUUUAGAAUUUAAUAAAACUCAAAUUAUACUGUAUGCAUCCUUUUGUGUCUGGAUUGCUUUUUUUUCUCUGCCUUACAUUGUUGAAUAUAUUCUAGGUAUGUUUUACUAAUUGCUUGGUUGUAUAUUAAUGCAUACUGCAUUUUGUUUAUCCAUUCAACUAUUGAUGGAAAUUGGAGUUGUUUUCAGUUUCUGGUUAUAAAUAAAACAGCUAUGAACAUUUACAUACCAA